UGAGUAACGCAAACAUUGGUGAGAAUCCAAUGCCCCGAAAAUCUAAGGGUUCCUCUGCAAGGUUCGUCCACGGAGGGUGAGUCAGGGCCUAAGAUCAGGCCGAAAGGCGUAGUCGAUGGACAACAGGUGAAUAUUCCUGUACUAUAGCUUUGUUGGGUCCCGAGGGACGGAAGAGGCUAGGUUAGCCGAAAGAUGGUUUUCGGUUCAAGAGCGUAAGGUGCCCUUUCACGGUAAGAAGGGGUAGAGAAAAUGCCUCGAACCAAUGUUUGAGUACGAGGCGCUACGGCGCUGAAAUAACCCAUGCCAUACUUCCAGAAAAAGCUCGAACGAUCAACCACAAAAGUGUACCUGUACCCGAAACCGACACAGGUCGGGCAUAGUUAGUCAUAAGUCUAAGUGUGGUUUAGAAUAUAAUUAUAAAGAAUUGAUGAAAA
rnacentral:ncRNA from 1 species